GACGAACGCUGGCGGCGUGCUUAACACAUGCAAGUCGAACGGAAAGGCCCUUUCGGAGGUACUCGAGUGGCGAACGGGUGAGUAACACGUGGGUGAUCUGCCCUGCACUCUGGGAUAAGCCUGGGAAACUGGGUCUAAUACCGGAUAGGACCGCACUUUAGUGUGUGUGGUGGAAAGUUUUUUCGGUGUAGGAUGAGCCCGCGGCCUAUCAGCUUGUUGGUGGGGUAAUGGCCUACCAAGGCGGCGACGGGUAGCCGGACUGAGAGGAUGGUCGGCCACAUUGGGACUGAGAUACGGCCCAGACUCCUACGGGAGGCAGCAGUGGGGAAUAUUGCACAAUGGGCGCAAGCCUGAUGCAGCGACGCCGCGUGGGGGAUGACGGCCUUCGGGUUGUAAACUCCUUUCGCCAGGGACGAAGCGUUCUGUGACGGUACCUGGAGAAGAAGCACCGGCUAACUACGUG
rnacentral:rRNA from 1 species